GAUCAUAUGCUUAUCAAUUUUUUUCAUAUUUACUAAACAUGUAUUCACAUAGUAAAUCAUUAUCUACAAUUUUAACAAAGUAAGAUUUAAGUAAUAUUCUUAUAACCAAAAAACCCGAAAACACGAAAAACCCAACAAAACCGAAUCAAUCCAAACCGAUAUAGUUGAUUUAAUUUAGUUUUGAUAAAAAUCGAACCAAUCUGAUCCAUGUACACCCACUCGGACUAUAUGAGUUCCGGAUACCUAAUCCGAAUGGUUGUAAUUAAAAUAAAUAAAAUGUGCGUAGUGGAUUUUCGCGUGACAUGAAUUAUCAAGGAACAUAAACCUAAAGCAACAAAGGCAAGCACCUCAUAGGAGUAAACAGAGAACAUAUAAAAAAGAUAAAACAUUGUUUAGCCUUAAUAUAGUACGUAGUUAAUAUAUAUGCAUAAGGACAGUAUAUUGAUGAGCACCAUAAACAGAGAAGAGAGAAGAAAAAUUGAGUCUAGAAAUCUGGGACAUGGCUGCCCUUAAGUAAUCUUUCAUCUUUACGACAAAUCUGAAUAACCAUGGACGUAAUAAAACAGCCCAUAGUCCCACCACUGCCAUUAUCACCUCUGCACCCAAAUUCAUGAUUAGAUGAAUGACUGCAAACAAUCACAGAGGAGGAUGGUGGAACAAAUGGAUCCCUUUACCGUUAAUUAGAGGGCUUGGUUUAGGUUCGAGCCUCGAGAACGGAAAACACGUGACAAGGAGCGCUUUCUCCCCUUUAGUAGGCCUUAUAUGGUACGAACUCGGAUUAGUGAAGGGCGGUAUGCUUCGAGUAACGGAUAGUUAAAAGAUAAAAGGAGUCACAAGGUUAAGAUAAUAUUAAUCACUAACAAUAUUGAUCUUCA
rnacentral:lncRNA from 1 species